rnacentral:rRNA from 1 species
UACAGAGGUCUCAAGCGUUGUUCGGAUUCAUUGGGCGUAAAGGGUGCGUAGGUGGCUUGGUAAGUCGGAUGUGAAAUCCCGGGGCUCAACCCCGGAACUGCCUUUGAUACUGGUGAUCUUGAGUCCGGGAGAGGUGAGUGGAACUGCGAGUGUAGAGGUGAAAUUCGUAGAUAUUCGCAAGAACACCAGUGGCGAAGGCGGCUGACUGGACAUGUAUUGACGCUGAGGUGCGAAAGCGUGGGGAGCAAACAGG